rnacentral:rRNA from 1 species
UACAGAGGGUGCAAGCGUUGUUCGGAAUUACUGGGCGUAAAGCGCGUGUAGGCGGUUUGGUAAGUUGGGGUGUGAAAUCCCUCGGCUCAAACCCGAGGAACUGCAUUCAAAACUGCCAGACUAGAGUAUCGGAGGGGGUGGCGGAAUUCCCGGUGUAGAGGUGAAAUUCGUAGAUAUCGGGAGGAACACCUGUGGCGAAGGCGGCCACCUGGAAGAUUACUGACGCUGAGACGCGAAAGCGUGGGGAGC